rnacentral:rRNA from 1 species
AGUACCGUGAGGGAAAGGUGAAAAGAACCCCGGGAGGGGAGUGAAAGAGAACCUGAAACCGUAUGUCUACAAGCAGUCGGAGCGAAAGCGACGGCGUGCCUAUUGAAGAAUGAACCAACGAGUUACGUGCACUAGCGAGGUUAAGUGGAAGACACGGAGCCGAAGCGAAAGCGAGUCUUAAGAGGGCGGAUAGUUAGUGUACGUAGACCCGAAACCGCAGUGAUCUACCCAUGUCCAGGUUGAAGCGCAGGUAAAAUUGCGUGGAGGACCGAACCUGUGAGCGUUGAAAAGCUUUAGGAUGAGAUGUGGGUAGAGGUGAAAUUCCAAUCGAACGCGGAGAUAGCUGGUUCUCCCCGAAAUAGCUUUAGGGCUAGCCUCAAGUAGUAAGUAUAGGCGGUAGAGCACUGAUCGGGCUAGGGGCCAUAAAGGUUACCGAACCCUGUCAAACUCCGAAUGGUUAUACUGUAGAGCUUGGGAGUCAGACUACGAGUGAUAAGAUCCGUGGUCAAAAGGGAAACAGCCCAGACCACCAGCUAAGGUCCCCAAUGUCGUACUAAGUGGAAAAGGAUGUGGGGUCUCUAAAACAACCAGGAUGUUGGCUUAGAAGCAGCCACCAUUUAAAGAGUGCGUAAUAGCUCACUGGUCGAGAGACCCUGCGCCGAAGAUUACCGGGGCUAAAGUACGAAACCGAAGCUGUGGCUACGACGUAAGUCGUGGGGUAGGGGAGCGUUCUGUGAGGGCUGAAGUCGUUCUGUAAGGGACGGUGGACUUCACAGAAGUGAGAAUGUUGGUAUGAGUAGCGAAAAGAAUGGUGAGAAUCCAUUCCACCGAAAGCAUAAGGAUUCCUGGGCAACGAUCGUCGUCCCAGGGUAAGUCGGGACCUAAUCCGAGGCAGAGAGCGUAGGAGAUGGACAACUGGCAGAUAUUCCAGUACCGGUAAUGAUUGUUUGAGCGAUGGAGUGACACAGGAGGGCAGGCAGGCAGGAGAUUGGUUGUUCCUGUACAAGCGUGUAGGAUGGGUUGCAGGCAAAUCCGCAACCUGUGAGUCUGAGGCGUGAUGUGGAGGUUCCAGAAAUGGAACUGAAGCUGCUGACCCCACACUGUCGAGAAAAGCUUCUAGUUAGAGAAUUACCGCCCGUACCGUAAACCGACACAGGUAUGCGGGGAGAGAAUCCUAAGGUGCGCGGGAGAACCCUCGUUAAGGAACUCGGCAAAAUGUACCCGUAACUUCGGGAUAAGGGUAGCCAGCGUUGUGAAGUCUGAACAGAUGGAGCAUAAGCUGGUCGCAGAGAAGAGGCCCAAGCGACUGUUUACCACAAACACAGGUGCCUGCUAAAGAGAAAUCUGACGUAUAGGUGCUGACACCUGCCCAGUGCCGGAAGGUUAAGGAAGGAUGUCCGGAGCAAUCCAAAGCAUUCGACCGAAGCCCCGGUGAACGGCGGCCGUAACUAUAACGGUCCUAAGGUAGCGAAAUUCCUUGUCGGGUAAGUUCCGACCCGCACGAAAGGUGUAACGAUUUGGGCACUGUCUCAACGAGGGACCCGGUGAAAUUGAAAUACCUGUGAAGAUGCAGGUUACCCGCGACUGGACAGAAAGACCCCAUGGAGCUUUACUGUAACCUGACAUUGGGUUCUGAUACAUCACGUACAGGAUAGGUGGGAGGCAUGGAAGCGAGGACGCUAGUCUUCGUGGAGCCGCCGUUGGGAUACCACCCUUGAUGUAUCGGAAUUCUAACCGUAGGAGUAACGAAACUCGGGACAGUGUCAGGCGGGCAGUUUGACUGGGGCGGUCGCCUCCCAAAGAGUAACGGAGGCGCCCAAAGGUUCCCUCAGCGCGGCCGGAAAUCGCGCGAAGAGUGUAAAGGCAGAAGGGAGCUUGACUGAGAGCCAAACACGGCAAUCAGGUACGAAAGUAGGGCUUAGUGAUCCGGUGGCAUCCAAGUGGAAGGGCCAUCGCUCAACGGAUAAAAGCUACCCUGGGGAUAACAGGCUAAUCUCUCCCAAGAGUCCAUAUCGACGGGGAGGUUUGGCACCUCGAUGUCGGCUCAUCACAUCCUGGGGCUGAAGUCGGUCCCAAGGGUUGGGCUGUUCGCCCAUUAAAGUGGUACGUGAGCUGGGUUCAGAACGUCGUGAGACAGUUCGGUC